UCAAUUGUCAGGUCACCAUAGUAUUUGAAAUUUUAUGUGAACUUAUUUGCUCCGUUAUAUAGCACAUUGCAUAUUACAUUUAUUAUUAUACUUAAUACCAUAAUCUAGAUUGAAGCUGGUGCUUUGAUGAAGGAAAAGUUUGUUGAGCCCUGGUUUAAGAAUUUCAAAAAAUUUUGUUGUUGUUUCAUUUAUAGUUACAUUAUUAUUUUGCAGUUAAGUUGUUAAAUCAUCAGAUGCUUUUAUCAGAUUAUUGAUCAAUAGGAUUUAUCAUGGUGGAACUUUUUUACUGUAUUUAAUAUUAAAUGCUACACAAAAUAAGGAGGAACGAAAAAAUUUAAAUUUUCGAACCAUACUGAAACAACUGAAUAUUAAUAAAAGUCCAGGUGGAACACCGAUGAUGCAUAAUACUCAGUAUGGGGAUUCAUUUACACCACCAGCAAUUCAAGUUGCUAGGAAACUUAUGAAUUCUAGAGGCCUUUUAUCGUCACCCAAGAAGAAAUAUAAAGAAAAUGCAUCAGACACAUUUGAAAUUCUCAAAUUUUGAUGGUUUUGUAUUAUAAAAGUUGAUUUUUAAUUUCAAUGCCUUAUUUAUUUUAUAAAAAAUAUCAGACUUGUUUUGAUUAUGUAUCAUCACAUAUGUUACAUUUUAAAAAGUUUUUAAUAGGAAAAAAGAAAAAAACUUUAAAACUGUAUAUAUUAACAAUUAUAGCAUCAUAACUUUUAGCCAAUUAUUUUAGUUUUAU